CCUACGGGCGGCUGCAGUGGGGAAUAUUGGACAAUGGGCGCAAGCCUGAUCCAGCAAUGCCGCGUGUGUGAAGAAGGCCUGCGGGUUGUAAAGCACUUUAAGCAGGAAAGAAGGGCGGAGCGAUAAUACCGUUUCGCAUUGACGUUACCUGCAGAAUAAGCACCGGCUAACUCCGUGACAGCAGCCGCGGUAAUACGGAGGGUGCGAGCGUUAAUCGGGCUUACUGGGGGGAAAGGGCGCGUAGGCGGUGAAAGCCCUGGGCUUAACCUGGGAACUGCGGUGGAUACUGUCGGGCUAGAGUGUGGUGGAGGGGAGUGGAAUUUCCGGUGUAGCAGUGAAAUGCGUAGAGAUCGGAAGGAACACCAGUGGCGAAGGCGGCUCCCUGGACCAACACUGACGCUGAGGUGCGAAAGCGUGGGGAGCAAACAGGAUUAGAUACCCCGGUAGUC
rnacentral:rRNA from 1 species